UUCGGGGUACUCGAGCGGCGAACGGGUGAGUAACACGUGAGUAAUCUGCCCCUGGCUUUGGGAUAGCCACCGGAAACGGUGAUUAAUACCGGAUACGACCACUUCUCGCAUGGGAUGGUGGUGGAAAGUUUUUCGGCCAGGGAUGUGCUCGCGGCCUAUCAGCUUGAUGGUGAGGUAAUGGCUCACCAUGGCUUCGACGGGUAGCCGGCCUGAGAGGGUGACCGGUCACACUGGGACUGAGACACGGCCCAGACUCCUACGGGAGGCAGCAGUGGGGAAUAUUGGACAAUGGGCGGAAGCCUGAUCCAGCAACGCCGCGUGAGGGAUGACGGCCUUCGGGUUGUAAACCUCUUUCAGCAGGGACGAAGCGCAAGUGACGGUACCUGCAGAAGAAGCACCGGCCAACUACGUGCCAGCAGCCGCGGUAAUACGUAGGGUGCGAGCGUUGUCCGGAAUUAUUGGGCGUAAAGGGCUCGUAGGCGGUCUGUCGCGUCGGGAGUGAAAACCAGGUGCUUAACACCUGGCUUGCUUUCGAUACGGGCAGACUAGAGGUAUUCAGGGGAGAACGGAAUUCCUGGUGUAGCGGUGAAAUGCGCAGAUAUCAGGAGGAACACCGGUGGCGAAGGCGGUUCUCUGGGAAUAUCCUGACGCUGAGGAGCGAAAGUGUGGGGAGCGAACAGGAUUAGAUACCCUGGUAGUCCACACCGUAAACGUUGGGCGCUAGGUGUGGGGUCCAUUCCACGGAUUCCGUGCCGCAGCUAACGCAUUAAGCG
rnacentral:rRNA from 1 species